rnacentral:rRNA from 1 species
GACGAACGCUGGCGGCGUGCCUAAUACAUGCAAGUAGAACGCUGAAGAGGGGAGCUUGCUCUUCUUGGAUGAGUUGCGAACGGGUGAGUAACGCGUAGGUAACCUGCCUUUUAGCGGGGGAUAACUAUUGGAAACGAUAGCUAAUACCGCAUAACAAUGGAUGACACAUGUCAUUUAUUUGAAAGGGGCAAUUGCUCCACUACAAGAUGGACCUGCGUUGUAUUAGCUAGUAGGUGAGGUAAUGGCUCACCUAGGCGACGAUACAUAGCCGACCUGAGAGGGUGAUCGGCCACACUGGGACUGAGACACGGCCCAGACUCCUACGGGAGGCAGCAGUAGGGAAUCUUCGGCAAUGGGGGCAACCCUGACCGAGCAACGCCGCGUGAGUGAAGAAGGUUUUCGGAUCGUAAAGCUCUGUUGUAAGUCAAGAACGGGUGUGAGAGUGGAAAGUUCACACUGUGACGGUAGCUUACCAGAAAGGGACGGCUAACUACGUG